UGUGAACAUACCACUUGUUGCCUCGGCGGAUCAGCCCGCUCCCGGUAAAACGGGACGGCCCGCCAGAGGACCCCUAAACUCUGUUUCUAUAUGUAACUUCUGAGUAAAACCAUAAAUAAAUCAAAACUUUCAACAACGGAUCUCUUGGUUCUGGCAUCGAUGAAGAACGCAGCAAAAUGCGAUAAGUAAUGUGAAUUGCAGAAUUCAGUGAAUCAUCGAAUCUUUGAACGCACAUUGCGCCCGCCAGUAUUCUGGCGGGCAUGCCUGUUCGAGCGUCAUUUCAACCCUCAAGCACAGCUUGGUGUUGGGACUCGCGUUAAUUCGCGUUCCUCAAAUUGAUUGGCGGUCACGUCGAGCUUCCAUAGCGUAGUAGUAAAACCCUCGUUACUGGUAAUCGUCGCGGCCACGCCGUUAAACCCCAACUUCUGAAUGUUGACCUCGGAUCAGGUAGGAAUACCCGCUGAACUUAAGCAUAUCAAUAAGACGGAG
rnacentral:rRNA from 1 species